AGCUUUCAGAAUCCGUGCCGAGAUUUCGUCAGACAGCUGAUGAGACUCCUAAGAUAAGUGAAGCG
rfam:Schistosoma mattheei strain Denwood, Zambia genome assembly, scaffold: SMTD_contig0021166